rnacentral:rRNA from 1 species
UCCUACGGGAGGCAGCAGUGGGGAAUUUUGGGCAAUGGGCGCAAGCCUGACCCAGCGACGCCGCGUGGAGGAUGACGGCCUUCGGGUUGUAAACUCCUGUCAGGUGGGAAGAGAUGCCUGCCGGUUAAUACCCGGCAGGAGCUGACGGUACCACCAAAGGAAGCCCCGGCUAACUCCGUGCCAGCAGCCGCGGUAAUACGGAGGGGGCGAGCGUUAUUCGGAAUCACUGGGCGUAAAGCGCACGUAGGCGGCUAGGUAAGUCAAAGGUGAAAGCCCUCGGCUCAACCGAGGAACUGCCUUUGAAACUGCUUUGCUUGAGUCCGGGAGGGGGGAGCGGAAUUCCCAGUGUAGCGGUGAAAUGCGUAGAUACUGGGAGGAACACCGGUGGCGAAGGCGGCUCCCUGGACCGGUACUGACGCUGAGGUGCGAAAGCGUGGGUAGCAAACAGGAUUAGAUACCCUGGUAGUCCACGCCGUAAACGAUGGGCACUAGGUGCAGCGGGUGUCGACCCCUGCUGUGCCGAAGCUAACGCAUUAAGUGCCCCGCCUGGGGAGUACGGUCGCAAGGCUGAAACUCAAAGGAA